GGGCGAUUAGCUCAGUUGGCCAGAGCACUUGCCUUACAAGCAAGGGGUCGCUGGUUCAAGUCCAGCAUCGCCCA
rnacentral:tRNA from 1 species